ACUAAUUCUAGCCCCGCCUAACACAAACAAAACUACCCAUAAAAUAAACUAAAACAUUAUAUACAAUAAAAGUAUUAGAGAAAGAAAUUAUACUCAGGAGCUAUAGAACAAGUACCGCAAGGGAAAGAUGAAAGACAAACAAAAAGUAUAAAUAAGCAAAGAUUAAACCUUGUACCUUUUGCAUAAUGAAUUAACUAGAAAACCUCUAACUAAAUGAAUUAAAGCUAGAAACCCCGAAACCAAACGAGCUACCUAAAAACAACUUCACGAGUAAACCCGUCUAUGUAGCAAAAUAGUGGGAUGAUUUUCAGGUAGAGGUGAAAAGCCUAUCGAGCUUGGUGAUAGCUGGUUACCCAAAAAUGAAUUUUAGUUCGACUUUAAGCUUACCAUAAGAAUAUAAAUCUACAUGUAAGCUUAAAUUAUAGCCAAAAGAGGGACAGCUCUUUGGGCAACGGAAAAAACCUUCAAUAGUGAAUAAAUAUAAAAAUACACACUUAUCCAUUGUCGGCCUAAAAGCAGCCACCAAUAAAGAAAGCGUUCAAGCUCAACAUAAGAAACAAAUCAAUCCGAAUAUUAUUAAUUAAUUCCUAUAUUCAAUAUUGGGUUAAUCUAUAACAUAAUAGAUGAGAUACUGUUAAUAUGAGUAACAAGAACCUAUUCUCCAAGCACAUGUUUAUAACAACUCGGAUAACCAUUGUUAGUUAUAGGAUAUUAGACAACAAACACAACUAAACCAUCUAAACUUCAACCGUUAACCCAACACAGGAGUGCUUUAAGGAAAGAUUAAAAAGAAUAAAAGGAACUCGGCAAACAUGAAUCCCGCCUGUUUACCAAAAACAUCACCUCUAGCAUUACAAGUAUUAGAGGCAUUGCCUGCCCAGUGACUUCCAAGUUAAACGGCCGCGGUAUUCUGACCGUGCAAAGGUAGCAUAAUCAUUUGUUCCCCAAUUAGGGACUAGUAUGAAUGGCUAGACGAGGAUUCAACUGUCUCUUAUUCCCAAUCAGUGAAAUUGACCUUCCAGUGAAGAGGCUGGAAUAAAACAAUAAGACGAGAAGACCCUAUGGAGCUUUAAUUAACUAGCCUAAUUAUAAUAAUCAAACCCUAAUGGAACAAAACCAUAAACAUUAAGCUAACAAUUUUGGUUGGGGUGACCUCGGAGAACAAAAAAUCCUCCGAAUGAUUAUAGCACAGACAAACAAGUCAAAGCAAUCCGCUAUAUCUAAUUGACCCAAAAUACUUUGACCAACGGACCAAGUUACCCUAGGGAUAACAGCGCAAUCCUAUUUAAGAGUCCAUAUCGACAAUUAGGGUUUACGACCUCGAUGUUGGAUCAGGACACCCCAAUGGUGCAGAAGCUAUUAAAGGUUCGUUUGUUCAACGAUUAAAGUCCUACGUGAUCUGAGUUCAGACCGGAGUAAUCCAGGUCGGUUUCUAUCUAUUCACAAUUUCUCCCAGUACGAAAGGACAAGAGAAAUAGAGCCAACUCACAAAUGAGCGCCCUCAAACCAAUAUAUGAAAAGAUCUUAAUAUAGUAAAUAUGUAAAACUAUAUAUCCAGACAAGAU
rnacentral:rRNA from 1 species